rnacentral:rRNA from 1 species
GUGGGGAAUAUUGGACAAUGGGCGAAAGCCUGAUCCAGCCAUGCCGCGUGUGUGAAGAAGGUCUUCGGAUUGUAAAGCACUUUAAGUUGGGAGGAAGGGUAGUAACCUAAUACGUUGCUACUUUGACGUUACCGACAGAAUAAGCACCGGCUAACUUCGUGCCAGCAGCCGCGGUAAUACGAAGGGUGCAAGCGUUAAUCGGAAUUACUGGGCGUAAAGCGCGCGUAGGUGGUUCAGUAAGUUGGAAGUGAAAUCCCCGGGCUCAACCUGGGAACUGCUUUCAAAUGUUCUGAGCUAGAGUACGGUAGAGGGUGGUGGAAUUUCCUGUGUAGCGGUGAAAUGCGUAGAUAUAGGAAUGAACACCAGUGGCGAAGGCGACCACCUGGACUGAUACUGACACUGAGGUGCGAAAGCGUGGGGAGCAAACAGGAUUAGAAACCCUUGUAGUCC